rnacentral:rRNA from 1 species
UACGAGGGGGGCAAGUGUUGCUCGGAAUGACUGGGCGUAAAGGGCGCGUAGGCGGACGGCUUUGUCGGGCGUGAAAUUCCAGGGCUUAACCUUGGGGCUGCGUUCGAGACGGGUUGUCUAGAGUUUGGAAGAGGGUCGUGGAAUUCCCAGUGUAGAGGUGAAAUUCGUAGAUAUUGGGAAGAACACCGGUGGCGAAGGCGGCGACCUGGUCCUUGACUGACGCUGAGGCGCGAAAGCGUGGGGAGCAAACAGG